ACGAAGCGCUUUCUGUCUUUAUUUAACACCCUGUAAUUAGCGCUAAUCUUCCCGUAACGUUGUGACUGGACUGAGCUGGUGUCAUUGUGGCUAACACCAGGGUCCAUUUCUUCGCCCAGGCUUCCUGGCCGCCGUGAGCACGACUGUGACCUUUUGACAGCGAGAGCCACGUCUUCCACACUCAUUCUUCAUUCUGCCCUCCUUCCUUAAGCCUCACUAACAGAUGAAGGCGUUAAACCUGGCAGGGGCGGAAGAACCACGCGGAGGUCUGAAUCUCUUCAGCGGGAAGACUGCGGCGCGGGCCUCGCGGGGGCCUCGCGGGCCAUAUCACGACAGAGCUACAUGGCUGCAGUCCUGUGUGUGAUCAAAGGACAUCUCUCGUCAUUACUACUCCCAGCAUAUGCAUUUACAAUCAGUGCGACCUGCAGUGUGGGCGCCUCUCUGACUUCAUCCCUCCGGCAUGCUUCCAUAGCGAGGGGAAGUGAUGAGAGGACUCAGCUGGGAGAAAUCAAUAACACUUCACAUGUCAGAAGUUUAAAAAUAUCCCAGCGGCCAAGCAAGGGGGUUGUGGCGGUGGGCUCGGCCGC